rnacentral:lncRNA from 1 species
AUAGCUGUCAUCAAAGAUCUACCUCCAAUCGUCAUGUUCUCAUCUCCUCUAAAUUGAUGAUGAACCUACUCAAUUCAAGACCCUGAAAUCAAUCUCUAAAUCCAUCUCAAAAUUACUCAAGAUUCCAGUUCACCAAAAUCGAUCUCCAAAUCAACAAAUGUAAGGCCCACCUUUUUAGUUAGAUUGUCAAAGAUGAUGAAUUGUCAAAUUUUCGCUUAAACACAGACAAAGAGUUGGUAUCUCGUCUCAAUUCACCAUCCUCAAUCAAGCCACGAACAUGAUCUGUAGUGACUAUUCAGCUACAAGAUCUACAACGAUCAUUUAACUAUAUGAUCUACAAAGACCAUUUAACCACAAGAUCUGCUAUAACUCAUUAUUCUUGUUCUACUCAUCUUGUAGUAUAAAUCCUUAACUCUUUUUCUUUCUUUUUCUAUAUAUAUUAUCGAAAAUUUUCAUGUAAAAUAUUUUUUAGUUUAAUUAUUUUUGUAAUUUCAAAAUAAUUGUGCGUCUUCAUCUUUUAUUGUUCUUUAGAUUAGAGAAAGAUAAAAUUAAAAAAAAAAAUUGUAUUGUUUGGUUGUUA